CCGUCUGAUCUCAGAAGCUAAGCAGGGUUGGGCCUGGUUAGUACUUGGAUGGAAGACCACCUAGGAAUACCAGGUGCUAUAGGCA
rnacentral:rRNA from 1 species